UACGUAGGGGGCAAGCGUUGUCCGGAAUCAUUGGGCGUAAAGCGCGUGUAGGCGGCCCAGUAAGUCCGCUCUGAAAGCCCGAGGCUCAACCUCGGGAGGCGGGUGGAUACUGCUGGGCUCGAGUACGGAAGAGGCGAGUGGAAUUCCCGGUGUAGCGGUGAAAUGCGCAGAUAUCGGGAGGAACACCAAUGGCGAAGGCAGCUCGCUGGGACGUUACUGACGCUGAGACGCGAAAGCGUGGGGAGCAAACAGG
rnacentral:rRNA from 1 species